rnacentral:rRNA from 1 species
AACUCGACUACAUGAAGCUGGAAUCGCUAGUAAUCGCGAAUCAGAAUGCCGCGGUGAAUACGUUCCCGGGUCUUGUACACACCGCCCGUCACACCAUGGGAGUCAGCAACGCCCGAAGUCAGUGACCCAACCUUUAAGGAGGGAGCUGCCGAAGGCGGGGCAGGUGACUGGGGUGAAGUCGUAACAAGGUAGC